CGCCUGAUUCUACGUUCUCAUGAGUACGAGGGGUACUCAGCGAUACGGAAAUUAUAGAAGGGGUACACAUAUGUCAAAAGUUUGGGAAACACUAAGAUGAGCGAGAGUUUGGAAUCACCGUUAGGGUCUCGGGGUCCGGCAAGGGCCUGGCGUUGGGGAGGGACCCCUGGCACCUGCUCUGAGGUUCCUGCUCCUGGUUUUCUGGGCUCAGAGGUGGCCCGUCUGCGCCGUAGCCGCUGCAUGGAGACGCGUGUAGCCAGAUACCAGCCAGUCCCGACCUGGCUUUGGGGCCGGGGCUGAGCCGCCGUGCCCCACGAAAGCCCUGGCGUUUGAGCGUUUGCUCUAACUUGGUGCUUUUUUUUUUCCUUUUUAGCUUUGGCUCCUGGUGCUCAGAGAGCCACCACUUCCUGCCCAGCUGGUUCAUUACCGCAGGGAAAAUGAGGGACUUUUGGGGGCAGAUGUGUUUCCAUUCCACUAUCAUAAUGCCCCUAAAAAUCCUUAUUGCUCUUGCAGUAUUCCUCGGGGGCCCCAGGCCGGCCCCGGACAGCUGGGAAGAUGGCAGGUCUGAGUUCCUCCAGCAACGAAGGGAAGAGAGGAAAUGCUCUCCCCCUCCCACCCCUACCCUACACUCUCCUCUGGUGCCUGCCGCCCCCUGCAGACACGGGUGGCUGCGCGUGCUGUUUGCCCCGCAGGGACGGCGUGUGGGAGCUCAGGCCUGGGGAACGGGGUGGCUGGGCCUACUGUCUGCAUCUGCAGUGGGGUUCCUGGCAGGGGACGAGGGGGUGGGGGAAGUGGGGAAGAAACAGGUGCUACCUGUUGGACAAGGUGAGUUUCACACUCUGCAGCCUGGUGUCUUCCGGCAGGCCCUCUGGGAUCCUCGCCUUGGCACGGGCCCUGGGCAGCGCUGGCGUGCUCACCUGCAGCCCGAGCCAGAUCGCUUUCCCACUCCCUGCCUCGGUUUCCCUGCCCGCCUGGGAGGGGCAGCAGCCCCGGCUCCGGUCUCAAAGGGGUCUUGGUUGUUCCCAAAGUGGCAGCGACCAGCUGCGCAGGCGCUCUGAACACGGAGCAGUGCGCACAUUCAGCGUGGAAGGCAUGGGUGCGAGCGUGUAUGUACUCACACGUGCCGGAUAUGCCAAGACGGCUGGGGGGGCGGGGGGGCUGCAGCCCACACGAGCGCUGGUUUCUGGAAUCAGUGUCACCCCAGGCAAGUGAUUCCAUCACUCUGAGCUCCCCUGUCUCACAGAUGAAACCCAGUUACAGGAAUAAAGCUUCCCAAGUCCGAUGUGGCACCUGGCUAACUUAUUCUGAUAGGUACUUCUUGGAACAGCUCAUUUCUAUUCGUGGCAACUGAUUGGUUUUCAAUUUCAGGUUGAGACUGAAGCGCACGCCCCCCCCUCCCCCUUUUUUUUUUACAUCAAUGUAACUAAGAAAGGGUGAGUUGCUAGAAAGAAAAAUAUUAAACCAAGAAUACAGGCGGUAUGGAGGCUGGAGUGGAAGCCAAGAGGGUAGCUUGUAAAGUUUCCCGGGUCCACUUACGUUAGAGUUCUUUUUUGCUUUCGGGAUUUGUCAAGAUGACCCCGUGUAGGUGAGGUGGGGAGGGGUCAUCCUGGAAAACAAUGGCUACCGUCUGCAUUUGCAGUGGGACACACAGCCAGACACCCUGACAACCUGGGUGUCACGUGUCUUCCCUUGAUGGAGAGGGCCCGCCCCUUCCUUGCUCGCCAACAACAAGACCCCCUCAGACCCCGGCCGCUACACCCACCCCGUGGCUCUUAUUUACCUCUUAUCUUAGGACCGUGAUGCCCCCGCGCCCUCUUUCCCGGCCGAGGCACCUUCUCAGUGAAAUGGGGAGAAUAAUAAACCCUCUGAGCCAGAGCAGGGACCCAGUCGGGCAGCUCUGAGGGGUCCCAAAGGGCAGCAGCAGCCCUGGGAUGGACAUGGGGGCACAGCAGGACCCUCGGCUAACAGGUCCCCCUGUGCCUGGCCGGGCACCAGCUCCCCGCCCGCUCCUGGGACAGGGGCUUGGAGGGGAAGCAGUGAACACUGGAUCCCCGCUGGGCAGGGGCAGACUCCAGUUUCACUUUCUGCUGUGUCAUGGGGUGGGGGUGGCAGCGGGGCCCAGCUGGCCAGCUGGGGCGGGCACCUAGACAGCUGCCAGCCCAGCUGCCAGAGCACACCCCACACCCACUCCUGCCCAGCAGCCUGCCAGAAUAGGGGCUGGGCCCUGGGGCCACCCCUUAACUGCCUCUCCCCACAGAGAGGAUAGAAAAGCCAGGUGACGGGGUGACAUGGCUCCUGUUGAUUCUGGAUGAGAGCGCUCUGACCAGACCCCUCCUUCCUGCCUCCCUUCACUGGGCACUUGUCUGCUGAGGACCUACUGUGUGCCAAGCCCUGUGACAGGCGCUGGGGCACAGCAGGGGGUACGUGGGGAUCCCAGUCGAGUCGGGGUGGUGGUGGGGAGAUGGAUGAAAGAGUCAGCAAAGAAAGAAAGAAUCCCAUGUUGUGUGGGAAAUUCCACACUGCAGGCUUAGCGUGAGCAUCUCAGGGAGGGUCGUGCAUACAUGCCUGCAUUUGCACAUGUGCGUGUCAAUAAUGUGUCCGCUCCGGGGACACACAGCUAGCUGAAGAGCACAGACCUGGGGGCCAGAUGUCCCCUGUUUGAAUCUGGACUCUUCCACCAACUGCUGUGUGGCCUCAGGUGACCUCAGGCAAGUCCCCGCUCCUGAGCUCCCCUGGCUCCGGGCUGGAGUAAAAGUGUCUCCGUGACAGAGCUGCAGUGAGGAUGAAGCACGCGGACAUCCCUGAAGAACCGAGGCUAUCGACCAUGCGCUGUCUAUGUCUCAGCUCUUCUCUAAGAAUAAUCCACGUGCCCUGUUCUUCCAGGCGGCAGGGCGGCCGUCCCCGCAGGCUGAGGACACUGGUAAGACGCUACGGCCCACGGCCCUUCCAAAAGCUGGCAUCAUCCCCACACCGGUGAGCAGUGUGUGUGUGAGGGCGGCAGGGACCCCGCGUGUCAGGGGAGCCAAUCCUAAGUGAGGUAAGUAGACAUCCCAUGGCAGCCUGGAUGGGGCGGACCCAGCCUCUGAGGUCAUCCCCGGGGCUUUCUGAGGCCAUGAGCCACGCCGAGUUCUCGCCAGCUUGGGCUUUAUACACGCGGGCAGAGUGUGGGGAGGUGAGCAGGGACUGUUCAGGAAGAAGCAUUGUGUAGCCCGGUAUUUAUAACUUCAGAACUUAAAUAUGGACAAGACAUAUUUUUCUUCUAAUUUACACAAACAAAUAUGUUCCCGGGCUUGACACUUCUGGUGCCAAGUUUCUCGGGGAAAUGAAUUCGGCUGUGAGAUGACAAACCGCCAGGGAGCCGAGGGGGAUGGAAAAGCCGAGGCAAGUUCGCUCUCCGCAUGCAGAUCCGGGCUGCUGAGCGGUGUGGCUUUCUGUCUUAGCGGCAGAUAAACCUGCCGGCAAUUUCAGGGAACGAAAUGCAGAUCCCGCAAGGGCCAGAGGCUGGGAAACGCUCCGGUUUGGAUAAAAGGAGGUCUGCUCUGCCUCCAGCCCUCCCUCCUGCUGGCCUGGAGACGCAGAGAGGAGCUGAUGAAUCGAGGGAGGAGGAAGGAGGCCAGUGUGAGUGGCCCUUCAAGGGCUAUGCGAAUACAAACACCCCACAACCUGAAACCGUUCCAGGUGGGAUUAAAGCGGCACGUUAUUGUGAGUGAUUGCUUAAUUUAUUGAGCUGUGGCAAGAUCUGUAAUGAAAUACAGCCCUUGCAACUGAUAACCUCCUGCUGCAAUUGAACUUGACAAUGAAGGAAUAUUUUCCAAGGAUUUUUCUGGAACAGCUUAGAAUUUUUUUCUCUGUGGUAGGGUGCUUCUGAGCACUCAUUUUUCCAGUCAAGAGUUUUUAUUUUAUUUUUUUAUUUUUGGUGUUUGUUUUUUAGGCAUGAAAGGCUGAUGUUAAUCAGGAAAUAAGCGUCAUUUUAUCGAAUGCCUUGGGCGCACCAGGCACGUAUUACACUUUAUCUCUAAUCCUGACGACAGCCCAAUGAAGAAACUCUUAUUCGUCCCUAAUUGACAGAUACGAGGUUUCUAGGUGUUGAGUAACUUUCCCAAGUGGCGUUGUCCAAGUCUGUAGCUACUAGCCACGUGUGGCUAUUUAUGUCUAAAUUAAUUUUUAAAAAUUUUAAAAAUUCACUCCCUAGGUUGCACUGGUGCCCACUCCCCAGGUGUGGCUGGUGGGUGCCCCACUGGACAGCACCGACACAGGCCAUUUCGACAACGGUGGAAAGUUCCAGUGGUCAGUGCUGACCCAGAAUGUUUGCAGGUAGGACUCCAACCUGAGCCGUUGGCAGCACUGUUCUACCGUUACCCCUUGCUUCUCGCUUCUCUUCCUUGGGCUGAGAAGUGGGGACUAGAGCUGAGAUGUGAAACCCUGGCUGCACAUUCAAAUGACCGGGACUGCUCUAAAAAUAUUGAUGAUAUGGUCCCGGCCCUGGAGAUUCUGACCUAACUGUGACCAGGGGGGCGGGGGUAAGACAGGCUUGAGGGGCUUUAUAUUGUUACUUCCCCACGUGUCCAGCCAGGAUUGGGAGCAGCUAGAAGAGCUGGUCCACACACAGGAGGAUGGAAAGGACUCGUUCACCUCCCAGCAGAAUGGAGUCGCUGUGGACCCAGACGUGGGCUUCCUGGAGGGCUGCCUCUGAGCCUUGCAUCAAACAGCUCGAGCGGGUUCCUGUCUGCAGGCAGGAAAGCCUUGAGGUGCUUUCCCACAUGCUUCCGGCUCAUUGGAGACACAGCGGGGAGCUCUGCUUCCAGGAACAGGCCCGGUCACGCUGCCACGGGAGAAAGGAGACGGGACUGGAGACCACUGGGACGAAGUGGCGUCUGCAGCCCCGUCGUUGGCGUGGAGGCCUCGGGGUGAACCCACGCUGCCAUCGGCCUCACAGAAUGAAGGUGUUUCCCGGCUCUGCCCGCGGGAAGGGUUAGGAAUACGGACCAACUCCGUCACAGUGAGCACCGCCAGCACUCCCAUUAGGGUCUCUCCACACCACUUCUGACGAGAAACUGGGUUCUGUGCAGAGACAGCCGAUCCCAGGUCUGAGGCAGGACAUGUGCGAGAGGAGCCUAGAACGUCCCGUCACCCUGGGAGUGUGGGAGCUCUGGGAGACUCUGGGCCGUGUCCGGAAAGAUGAAGGGGACACUGUGAUAGGACGGCUGGCCAGGUGGGACAGCCGAGCAUCAAUAAGAAUAGUAACACACUGGACUGGAAUGUGUUACAGAUGUCCACACCUACGAGUUCACAAUGGUACCCUGUAAGAAAGCAAAAACUCAUUUGUCAUCUUUGGGGGAUGUUCAGAAACCAACUCAUCAUUUUGAAAACUGUCAAGUAAAAAGGAAAGAAUCAA